rnacentral:rRNA from 1 species
AGAGUUUGAUCCUGGCUCAGGAUGAACGCUAGCGGCAGGCUUAACACAUGCAAGUCGAGGGGUAGAGGUUGCUUGCAACCUUGAGACCGGCGCACGGGUGCGUAACGCGUAUGCAACCUACCUUUUACAGAGGGAUAGCCCAGAGAAAUUUGGAUUAAUACCUCAUAGUAUAUGUUUUUCGCAUGUUAGACAUAUUAAAGUUCCAACGGUAAAAGAUGGGCAUGCGUCCUAUUAGCUAGAUGGUAAGGUAACGGCUUACCAUGGCAACGAUAGGUAGGGGUCCUGAGAGGGAGAUCCCCCACACUGGUACUGAGACACGGACCAGACUCCUACGGGAGGCAGCAGUGAGGAAUAUUGGACAAUGGGCGCAAGCCUGAUCCAGCCAUGCCGCGUGCAGGAAGAAGCAUCUAUGGUGUGUAAACUGCUUUUGUACGGGAAGAAACACUCCUUCGUGAAGGAGCUUGACGGUACCGUAAGAAUAAGGAUCGGCUAACUCCGUGCCAGCAGCCGCGGUAAUACGGAGGAUCCAAGCGUUAUCCGGAAUCAUUGGGUUUAAAGGGUCCGUAGGCGGUUUGGUAAGUCAGUGGUGAAAGCCCGCAGCUCAACUGUGGAACGGCCAUUGAUACUGCCAGACUUGAAUUACAAGGAAGUAACUAGAAUAUGUAGUGUAGCGGUGAAAUGCUUAGAUAUUACAUGGAAUACCAAUUGCGAAGGCAGGUUACUACUUGUGGAUUGACGCUGAUGGACGAAAGCGUGGGGAGCGAACAGGAUUAGAUACCCUGGUAGUCCACGCCGUAAACGAUGGAUACUAGCUGUUGGGGGUAACUUCAGUGGCUAAGCGAAAGUGAUAAGUAUCCCACCUGGGGAGUACGUUCGCAAGAAUGAAACUCAAAGGAAUUGACGA